UUCUCCAUUUGAAACUAAAACCUUUCAUUAAAUCAUUGUUAUUCUCAUUUCUUCUGCUGUUUAACGUGUUUUGAUCCUUUCUGUCAUUGAAAGGUAAGGUUUUUUGAUAAAUUAGUUUCUUUUGUGCAGAUUAUGCUUAAAAAAAACUGUUUAGUUAAAAAAAAUAAAGAAUAGUCUGGGAUAUAAUCUGAAAACCCAUCUUCAAUUCAGUUGCAUCAGUUGCAUGUCCAGAAACCUUCUUUCUGGACAUGUUUGUUGAAGCGGCAUCACAAGAGGAGCGAAACGCCGUUCACUUCCUGUCUUGGGGGUUUCAGGUGAGGUUUCUUCAGCAGAUGACGAGCUGUGUGUCUACAGUUCACGUCUGCUCUCAUGCAGAGAAGCUUCUGCUGGGAUGGGAACCAGCAAACUUUGCUUUCUGCAGCUGCUGCUGCUGCUUCUCAGCGCCGCUGAAGGUUUGUUCCAGUUUUGAGCUUCUGAGACUAACGUUGGUUUGGCAUCUGAAACUGUUCUUCCUCUGCAGAAUCUCGAAAAUGGAUUCAUAAGGUCGUUCGUCAUCAGCCUGAUGUGAUUCCAGUUUGCAGAAACGAUUCCAGUAACGUCAUCAUGCUGACAGUCUGCAGGAUCCAGACCCAGGGGGGGUCCUGCCGCCUGACCUUCAGGCCUGGACGCAGCUCUGAUCCAGAAUGUGGCUCCAAGUUCAGGAUGACGGUGGAGAACCAGACGGUGUUCCUGCAGCUGAGCUCUCUGGGAGCAGAGGACAGCGAGAACAGCAGCUGUGAGUGUGUUCAUGCUGUAGGGACCUUCACCGUGGAGCUGAACAUCACCGUGGUAACCACAGGGAAUCGGACCAUCGACUCAUUUCUAAAACCAACCGACAAAGAAAACCUUUAUGGAUGGAUGUGGGUUCUGGUUCUGGUGUUGGUCUCUGGAAUCCUGCUGGGAGUUUUCUGCCGAUGCUUGUCACUCAGGUGAGACAGAAGUCCCUCCCCUGAGCUCCUCAGGAGCGAUGCUGUCCGCUUCACCUGCGUCUCUCCUCUGAAGGAGGGAGAACAUCUGCCCCGAGCUGCAUUUGCAUCGUUUACCCAGCAGGAGGCGACAGAGACCCGCCAGCAGCCCUCCACAGACGCUGGUGGAGGACGUUGAGGCGUACGACGUGUUCCUGCAGACGGAGAACGUUCUGUAUGAACCUUGCAGAGCCCACAGCUGCAGCACCAUCAGCAGUGUCCUCACGUGACGGCUGUACCCCAGAGGACCGCCUCUGAAGGAGUUCUAGUGUGUUUGAACCUGAGCAGUGGAAAAGUCCACUCUGCUUCUGCUGAAGUUGCAGCUUCACACAGGAAGUCAGCCGGACCUGCAGCUCCAUCUGACUUCCUGUCUGAACUUUCUGAUCACUUUCACUCCUUGAAGCUCGUUUUAGAA